UACGUAGGGACCAAGCGUUGUUCGGACUUACUGGGCGUAAAGGGCGCGUAGGCGGCUUGACAAGUCACUUGUGAAAUCUCCGGGCUUAACUCGGAACGGCCAAGUGAAACUGUCAUGCUAGAGUGCAGAAGGGGCAAUCGGAAUUCUUGGUGUAGCGGUGAAAUGCGUAGAUAUCAAGAGGAACACCUGAGGUGAAGACGGGUUGCUGGGCUGACACUGACGCUGAGGCGCGAAAGCGUGGGGAGCAAACAGG
rnacentral:rRNA from 1 species